AGCAGAGAUGUAGCGUAGCUCGCUGGGACUCUGUGGUGUCCGCCGUCUGUCACUUUUCCCGGAGAUCAUUUAUCAGACACUACCGCGGAAUGGAAAAGGCCGGAUUUUAUUUUUCUACAGCCGCACAGUGUAAAAGCGCCGCGUAAUGCGACCAGAAGAGUUGCCUUUAGGGGGAAAUAUUUAUGGUUUGGGACGGUUUUGUUGGAGUAGCUAGUUGCUAGCGCUGAGCUAGCGACUGCGCUGGCUACUUCGAACGUAUUUUGCAAGGAUGCUACGGUGGAUACGACAGCAGCUGGGCUUUGAUCCCCCCCAUCAAAGUGAAACCAGGACGGUUUAUGUAGCAAACCGUUUCCCCCAGCAUGGCCACUACAUACCACAGCGCUUUGCUGACAACAGAAUCAUCUCAUCCAAGUACACAAUUUGGAAUUUUGUCCCCAAGAAUCUAUUUGAGCAAUUCAGAAGGAUAGCCAACUUCUAUUUUCUCAUUAUCUUCCUUGUACAGUUAAUGAUAGACACCCCAACUUCCCCAGUCACCAGCGGUCUGCCUCUCUUCUUUGUGAUCACAGUAACUGCCAUAAAACAGGGCUAUGAGGAUUGGCUGAGACACAAGGCAGACAAUGAAGUUAACGGGGCUCCAGUGUUUGUGGUUCGCAGUGGAAGUCUGGUCCAGACAAGGUCCAAGAACAUCAGGGUGGGAGACAUUGUUCGUGUGGCUAAAGACGAGACGUUCCCAGCUGACCUGGUGUUGCUGUCAUCGGAUCGUGCAGAUGGAACCUGUCAUAUCACCACAGCCAGCCUGGAUGGAGAGACCAACCUGAAGACCCACUACUCUGUGGCAGAAACAUCAGUGUGCCAGUCAGUUUCCCAACUGGAGGCUCUGCAGGCCGUGGUGGAGUGUCAGCAACCUGAAGCUGAUCUUUACAGGUUUGUUGGUCGGAUUACAGUGACUCAGCACGGGGAGGAGAUAGUCAGGCCACUGGGUCCAGAGAAUUUGCUGCUGCGAGGAGCCAGGUUGAAAAAUACCAAAGAAAUUUUUGGUGUGGCAGUUUACACAGGGAUGGAGUCCAAGAUGGCCCUGAACUACAAAUGCAAGUCCCAGAAGCGUUCGGCAGUGGAAAAGUCAAUGAAUACUUUCCUCAUCAUCUACCUGGGCAUCUUGCUGUUCGAGGCUGUCCUGAGUACCAUCCUAAAGUAUGCCUGGCAGGCUGAGGAAAAAUGGGACGAACCUUUCUACAACCAGAAGACUGAACAAGAAAGAAACAGCAGUCCGAUCUUAAAGUUCAUCUCAGAUUUCUUGGCGUUUCUGGUCCUCUACAAUUUCAUCAUCCCCAUCUCGCUCUAUGUUACUGUGGAGAUGCAAAAGUUCUUGGGCUCCUUUUUCAUUGGCUGGGAUUUGGACCUUUACCACGAAGAGAGUGACCAGAAAGCUCAGGUCAACACCUCUGACCUCAAUGAGGAGCUGGGGCAGGUGGAAUAUGUGUUUACUGAUAAGACGGGUACCUUAACGGAAAAUGAAAUGCAGUUUCGUGAGUGUUCCAUUAAUGGAACCAAAUACCGGGAGGUUAACGGCAAAUUGGUACCAGAGGGAGUGACUGAUGAUUCACCCGACGGUUCAACACCUCACUUGAUCGGUGAGGAAUUGUUAUUUCUCAAGGCGGUGUCAUUGUGCCACACGGUUCAGAUAAGCUACGACCAGCCAGACUGCCUGGUUGGGGGAGGGGACCCAUUUUCCCAUGUAAACGGUUUCUCCACCAGUCACAUGGAAUACUACGCCUCUUCACCUGACGAGAAAGCUUUGGUAGAGGCUGCAAAGAGGAUUGGAGUAACCUUCACCAGCUGCAGUGGAGAUACUAUGGAAAUAAAAACAUUUGGGAAGUCCGAAAAAUAUAAACUGCUCCAUGUAUUAGAAUUUGAUGCUAACCGCAGGAGGAUGAGUGUCAUACUACAGACUCCCUCAGGAGGUCAGGUAAUGUUCACUAAGGGAGCAGAGUCAGCCAUCUUGCCUUUCACCACCAGUGGAGAGAUAGAGAAGACGAGAUUGCAUGUAGAUGAGUUUGCCUUGAAAGGUUUGCGGACCCUGGUUGUAGCAUGUCGCCACUUUAGCCCAGAGGAGUACAUUGAUGUGGACAGGCGUCUGAAUUCUGCCCGUACUGCGCUGCAGCAGAGAGAGGAGAGGCUGCAGGAAGCCUUCAGCUACAUUGAGAGAGACCUGCAGCUCCUGGGAGCAACUGGGGUGGAGGACAAACUCCAGGACAAAGUCCAGGAAACCAUUGAGGCUCUCCGGCUAGCAGGGAUCAAAGUAUGGGUCCUGACAGGGGACAAACAUGAGACAGCAGUAAGCGUCAGCCUGUCCUGUGGCCACUUUCACCGAACCAUGAACAUCCUGGAGCUCCUGCAGCAGCGCUCUGACAAUGAGUGUGCAGAGCAACUCCGCAGACUAGCUAGAAGGAUAAAGGAGGACCAUGUCAUACAGCAUGGCCUGGUCGUGGAUGGGGCCAGUCUGUCGUUAGCACUGAGGGAACACGAGAAGCUCUUUAUGGAAGUGUGUAAAAACUGUUCCGCUGUGUUGUGCUGCCGCAUGGCCCCUCUGCAAAAAGCCAAGGUGGUGCGUCUUUUAAAAACAUCUCCAGAGAAACCCAUUACCUUAGCAAUUGGGGAUGGAGCCAAUGAUGUCAGCAUGAUACAAGAGGCCCACGUUGGCAUAGGUAUCAUGGGGAAAGAAGGUCGUCAGGCCGUGAGAAACAGUGACUAUGCAAUUGCCAGGUUCAAGUUCCUGGCUAAACUCCUACUGGUCCACGGUCACUUCUACUACAUUCGGAUAGCGACGCUUGUACAGUACUUUUUCUACAAGAAUGUGUGUUUUAUCACGCCCCAGUUUUUAUACCAGUUCUUCUGUCUGUUUUCACAACAAACUCUGUACGACAGUGUUUAUCUGACACUGUACAACAUCUGCUUCACCUCGCUGCCCAUCCUGGUGUACAGUCUGUUUGAACAGCUGGUCCAUCCACACAUAUUACAAAGUAAACCUGCCCUGUACAGGGACAUCAGCAAAAACUCCUUGCUAUCCUUCCGAACUUUUCUGUACUGGACCUUGUUGGGCUUCUGUCAUGCCUUCGUCUUCUUCUUCGGAUCGUACAUAUUGAUGGGAGAGGACACCACCCUCAUGGGCAACGGACAGAUCUUGCGAGCUAACAGGCAGCUGAUGUUUGGGAACUGGACCUUUGGAACGCUGGUUUUUACAGUUAUGGUCAUCACUGUCACAUUAAAGCUUGCAUUGGAGACUCAUUUCUGGACGUGGAUGAACCAUUUUGUGACAUGGGGCUCAAUUGCCUUUUACUUCAUCUUCUCUCUCUUCUAUGGUGGUAUCAUCUGGCCAUUCCUCCACACCCAGGACAUGUAUUUCGUCUUCGUGCAGCUGCUGUCCAGUGGCUCUGCCUGGUUUGCCAUCAUCAUCAUUGUCAUAACUUGCCUGUUUCCUGAUGUGGUGAAGAAGGUCUUCUAUCGACAUCUGCAGCCCACCAGCACCCAGAAGAGUCAGAUGUAUUCCAACCGCGUGGCGAUAGGUGAUGACUUCAUCGCUCUGCAGCCUCUGUCCAGAGCCAAGAGCCAGCUGGGCAAAAUUAGUCUCUAUCAGCCACCCAGGCGCAGACCCUCAGCUGUGUGGAGUCCCUGUGCUGCUACCAACAUGGGCAGAGCGGCUGUUCCCGCCUGGCCCGCCUCCUGGAGCAAAUGACCGGCCAGUGCCAGGCCAGCGCCAGCCACUGUCACUCGUCCAGCCGCAACAACAGGUCUUGGAGCGACACAGAGAACUACUCCAACGAUCGCAGCAUCCUGACGCUGUCGCCCAUCGAGGCCACCCACUGCUGACUCCCAGAGCCGCUGACUGUAACAAACACACAGUCAUAUUCGCCACUCGCCCUCUCACACACCGACUACGGUCCAAACGGGACGCACUUUCAGCUGGAUGCAAAGCAGACAGAAAUGGAAACCAUCCUGUCGUCGUAGAAACCAAAGGACUUAACGCUCAGUGCAGCGGGCGCUUGAUCCGUAACUCUUCUGGGAGUCACAUUCUUGGAAGAAAACGGUCGUGAAGGAACUGUAGCAUGAAGCCAACAUAUGUGGAAGCAUCAUCUGAGCAGCAGCAUUCAUCGACGUCCUGCUGUUUACACUUUGUCGCAUAAUCAGAGAUUCAGUAACUUUAAAAAGUGUCUUAAAAAGCCGAAGGAGUUAUUUUAAGUGUAAGGCUUUAUGAGUCAGCGUCAGCUCUGCACAGUUACAUGAACCUUCACACAAAUACUUUCUUCUUCACUGUAUUACCUUUGCCAAACAUUUUUCAAUAUAGCAGACAUCGAAGCACAGGUCAGACCAAAGAUUCAUAAGAAGUGACUGUUUUUGGACGUUUUAGCAAUGUGGAGGGAUCUGUCUUAAGUGUUUCCUAAGAUUCGAGAAAACCACUAGUGGAUCGCUUAACUUUUUUUUUUUUUUUCCCUUUGGGUUUAGGGGCUGUAGCUCAGCUGUCACCGGCCCCGAUCAUGUGUUUUUCCCCUCACUGAUAGAAGUCUUGCCCCUUCUGGUGUGCCUCAUGGAGCCUAAUUUUGGUAAAAAAUCGAUGAAUGGCAACAGACAAGCAACUUUCUGAUCCUGUUUGGUUUGUGCCACCAUUUACAUAUAUGAUGUGGAAUUCAAAAUAUACUUUUAUGAGUCAAGAAAGUUGCAGUUGGUGAUGAAGAAACCUCGGUGCACAUGAUGAAUGUCAGAAACACCAAAAAAGUGAUUUUUUUCUCACUAUAUUUCACCUCAUUCUUGUGGAAAGUGAACAUUACAAUGACAUUACUUCCUCAACCUUGGGGUGUGUAGUCUAUAGGUAUUUUCACAAUAUGAGACUUAUAAUUUUACAACAAGCUGUGACUUUCUCCAUUUGUAAAAUUAUCUUUUGAACCAUCAAAUAUUAUGUGUAAAUGAUGGUAUAAAUCAAACAGAAUCAAAAAGUACUGGUCUCUCACCUUUGACUACAGUACUUUUUUUUCCCAAAAUGAGGUCAGAUGAGACACAAUAGGAAGGUACAAUAUUGGACUUUAUUUUUUUUUUCUACUAGUAUAUUUUUUUAUUUUCAAAGAAAAUAAUCCCUCUACAACAAAUAAUUAAUAAUAAAUAAUACGGUAAAUAAUAAUACAAACAAUAAUACAGGUGUGAAACAGGCUGCAGUACUUUUUUUUUUUUUUUUUCAAAAUGACGUUAGCUGGGCUAACCCAACGCCUCUAAAUGACAGAAGUCCUCCAAGGACAGUCAGGAGUUAUUCCAGACUCUUUCAUAUUUUAUGCUUGUGUUCUUUCAUCAGUACUACAGAUGCAACUGGACUCAUUCAUAUUUUAAGACGCUACAUAUCAUAUACAGCUAUAAAAGGAGCUGUCACUUAGAAGUUGAGUACUGAACAUUAGAACGUUGCAGACAAGUGAUUCCACAUAGAUCUGAGCUUCAACUUGUCUCAUUGUGAAUCUUUGGUCUGAUCUGAACUUAGAGGACCAGUGUGUAAGAUUUAAGAUCACCAGCCCGUGUGUGGUUUGUCCAUGAAGGGCUACUGUAGAAAGAACUUCAUUAAUCUGUAGAUCUUAAGGGCUCUUUCAAAGGGAUUUCUAGUUAUAGAUUGUUAUACACAAAUUACAAUAUAUUAUGUUCCAUUUCUGCAAAUACUCUCCCUAAAUCUUACAUACUGGUCCUUAAAAUGACCAUUUGAAGUCAUAUAUAUGCAUAAGAUUAAAAUUCAUAUUAAUAUACACAUAUUCAGAUUUAACUAGUUCCUUGUUAGCGAAGAUAUAGACUCUUUAUUUAUCAUCAUAAAAAACUUAUCAAUGCCUUCCUCUGACCAUAGUCUACAACUAAUAGACCAUUAACCUUUUAGUUUAACCUCAGUAAAAUGCUGUUUGUUGAUGGUAAGU